AUACGGAGGAUCCGAGCGUUAUCCGGAUUUAUUGGGUUUAAAGGGUGCGCAGGCGGGAGAUUAAGUCGGCGGUGAAAUUUUGCAGCUCAACUGUAAAAGUGCCUUCGAAACUGGUUUCCUUGAGUGUAGAUGAAGUAGGCGGAAUUUGUGGUGUAGCGGUGAAAUGCAUAGAUAUCACGAGGAACUCCGAUUGCGCAGGCAGCUUACUAAACUACUACGUACGCUCAGGCACGAAGGCGUGGGGAUCAAACAGGAUUAGAUACCCUGGUAGUCCACGCAGUAAACAAUGAUUACUAGCUGUUUGCGAUACAAUGUAAGCGGCUGAGCGAAAGCGUUAAGUAAUCCACCUGGGGAGUACGUUCGCAAGAAUGAAACUCAAAGGAAUUGACGGGG
rnacentral:rRNA from 1 species